rnacentral:rRNA from 1 species
GUGGGGAAUAUUGGGCAAUGGGCGCAAGCCUGACCCAGCAACGCCGCGUGAAGGAAGAAGGUUUUCGGAUCGUAAACUUCUAUCCUUGGUGAAGAUAAUGACGGUAGCCAAGAAGGAAGCCCCGGCUAACUACGUGCCAGCAGCCGCGGUAAUACGUAGGGGGCAAGCGUUGUCCGGAAUGAUUGGGCGUAAAGGGCGCGUAGGCGGCCUGGUAAGUCUGGAGUGAAAGUCCUGCUUUUAAGGUGGGAAUUGCUUUGGAUACUGUCGGGCUUGAGUGCAGGAGAGGUAAGCGGAAUUCCCGGUGUAGCGGUGAAAUGCGUAGAGAUCGGGAGGAACACCAGUGGCGAAGGCGGCUUACUGGACUGUAACUGACGCUGAGGCGCGAAAGUGUGGGGAGCAAACAGGAUUAGAUACCCUGGUAGUCC